UUCAUUUUACAUUUGGUUGGCCGCAUGGUGGCCGGGCCUGUGUGUUUGUUUGCUUCCUCUUUGACGUAGAUGUGCACUGCGGAUGGUGUUAUGGCACCCAGUGCUACGCACAUGCUUCAUUGAGGUGGCUUCCGGACCUUGAUGGCCUUGUUCCCAUGGGGUUGAACCUUGAUACGGUUUCCUUCUUGAUGCGUUGAUCUUCGUGGGGGUUCGAUCCUCGUGCAUGGCAUCCUUGAGGUGUGAGUGUGGCAUGGUGUUUGGUGCUUCUUAGCACUAGAUUCCUACGCGUGCUCUCGGCCGACGAUGGGUUGUUUGCUGGUUUGGCUUGGCUCCCAAGGGGUUGAGACCUCAACAACUGUCCCGAUUGUUACUAUUUUCUCUUCUCUUAUUUCCCAUGCCUAGCGGGGCAGGCUCGACACCACACAAUGCUUCCACACGCUCAGCUAGCCUUGUGCUUGGUUGGGGUGUGGUUCAAUUUGUUUGAUGUUGUGGUCUGGCGUACGUAACGGCGUGUGAGUGGUGACAAGGUUGUAUGUCUUGACAGGCUCCGUGCUUGUGCAUCGAACUGUUAGGCGUGCUCCUCCUCAUUUUUGCUCCUCGUGUGAAUAGCAUGUUGGGCUACCGAAGGGUUCCUG
rnacentral:misc_RNA from 1 species